UUAAACUAUGACCUCCUGGUUCAUAAGUCGACACUCAACCACUGAGCCACACCGGCCGGGCUCUAUUUGUUUUUAAUUGGCACACAGGGAAUAAUAUAAUGAUUUCAUUGAUAAAAAUUUGCAGUUUAAGGAGGUAAGCCCUUGCGUUCACUCAGCAAAUAUUCUUAAGCACCUGCCCUGUGGCAUUGGAGACAGACCCCUGAACGCAACAGACUUUAUUCUGCACGCUUGUGUCUUAUUUCCUAGUGGCUGCCACAGGCUGCAAACAAGUCAAUAUGUAGGGCAAUGCCGGGCAGUGAAUGUAGUGGGUUGAGCAAUGGCCCCCCAAAAGCAUGUGCUCACGUUCUCAUCCUCAGAAACUGGAAAUGCAACUUUAUUUGGAAGGACAACCUUUGAAGAUAUAAUUACAUUAAGGAUCUUGAGAUGAUCAUCUUAGAUUAACUGGUUGGGCCCUAUGUGCAAUGACUGGUGUCCUUAUAAGAGUCGGAAGAGGAGACACACCCACAUAGGGAGAAGGCCAUGUGAAGAUGGAGGCAGAAAUUGGAGGGAUGAAGCCAUAAGCCAAGGACCCCUGAGGCCACCAGGAGCUGGGAGAGGAGUUCCACCAAUCGGGAGUUUGACUGCUCGCUAUGAUGUGCACUGACCACCAGGGGGCGGCGCGGAAUGAAGAAAGGUCCCGGCUGACAGCUGGGGGAAGUAAGGCCCCUAUUGGUCCUGAUUGCCAGCAAGGCCUAGGGACCCUACCUGUGCAUGAAUUUUGUGCACUGGGCUUCUAGUACAAGAAUAAACUGUUUUGCAGACUCCCAACUAUAAACCUA